rnacentral:snRNA from 1 species
AGCUUUGCACAGUGGCAGUAUCGUAGCCAACGAGGUUUAUCCAAGGCGCGAUUAUUGCUAAUUGAAAAAAUAAAUAAAGUCAACUUGGAUCAGUGCAGCAAAACUGCAAAGUGAUACAGACUUUGUCUGCAAA